ACACUCUUGUUGCUCUUCAGAUCGGACAAGUCUUUCGCCUUAUACUAAAGAUUUCCGUAGAGAGGAACAAUGAGAGUUUGUGUCAAAAUCUUGAUGCACUGAAAACGUGGCUU
rnacentral:snRNA from 1 species